UUAGUGCGCAUGCUCGCCGUCGGCGCGACUGCGUUCGGUGGUCCCUGCGCCUGCGUCAGGCGUUCCGUGCCGGGAAAGUCUGUUCACACAAGUCAUGGUGGAGAGUGAAUCAGAAGAGGCAAACAGAAAGAAGCUUACACAGAAGCAAGUGGAAGAUUAUCUUUGUCCAGAAGCAAGUGGAAGAUUAUCCUCAGCAAUCUCAGCAGUUGCUUGUCCUCAUGGAGCACUUCUCCAGUGCACCCAGUAUUGUCUUCUGCACCCCGUCAUGUUCGGCCACCCUUACACCGUCUGCUCGGGUGAACCCACUCACGCAUGCGCGCACACACCCCCGGUGCCCACCAGCAGCACUUCCCAGCUCAUUCUCCCAACUCCGCUUUCAAGGCCUCAGAUGAGCCACAGCGGCCAGUGGCACACACACAUCUGAGCAUAUUCCUUUACCCACACCCCAUCCCUCAGGUCAUCAUCAUCACGCACAGGCUACCUAUCAGCUUCCCUUGGGAUGUGAACGGUGCAGCCAUGACCCGAAGCUUCAGCAGAAAGUAGCUGAAGCCAGCAAUAGAACACAAGUAAGCCCAGGCGGCACCAACCUAGCGGCAAACAGCCAAGAAGGUGAUUGGCGCCAGCAGGGGAUCCAUCAAGCUUGCACUGAGGGCCCUGCUCAAUUGAGGGAACCGCCCUUCAUUCACGGCAGCUGCCGCACACGCCAGGGCCCGGCAGCCUCCCUCCCUGGCCUUCUCUGGCUGUGGUUUCAGCCAGAAUCCCCAUACGCAUCCACCCCCAGGAUGCCCUUGCUGAGACUGGGAUACACAGUACUCUUGGGGGUAACCGCCCACUCCCCAGGGGCACUCACUGCUGUCACUCUGACACUCAGCUCUCAUGGCCACCAGUGAGAUGGGCAGGCCCCGCACUAGGCCAGCCCUUCACUCAGGCACCCGGGUCAGGGACGUGGGGAUAGAAGCUCCACAUGUGGCCUCUCUUGGGGGACCCCCUCCAGGCUAUGGGCUCCACCACAAGCCAUGUUCCCCACCCACGCCAGGGCGGUUCCUCAGCAUCUCCCCUCAUUCAGAAGUGAACAGGGCAUCACCACAGGGCACCAGCUUUUUGCCUCAUGCUAGUUGGCUUUUGAGACCUCUCCCGCCUGGCUGCAGACCACCUCACACAAGGCGGCCCUAGGCCACCGAGGCCCAUCAGUCUCCCCGUGAUGUUCAUUUUCUGGGGCGUACAAAUGAUCCCAUCCAUCCCCGGGGUACCACAGGCAUAACAUGACCUUCCCCAAGCCCCCAGCCUUCUGGCGGGAUUGUUAGUCCCAGUCCAUCGGUUUUUCCCCUUGCACCAGCACUGGGCGAGCUCCGGCUCCUCUUCCUUCCCGCGAGGCCCCCGCGCCAGCAGUAGUGGCUGGUCCUCGUGGCC